AGAACGAACGCUGGCGGCAGGCUUAACACAUGCAAGUCGAACGCUCGUAGCAAUACGGGAGUGGCAGACGGGUGAGUAACGCGUGGGAACAUACCCUCCGGUUCGGAAUAGCUCAGGGAAACUUGGAUUAAUACCGGAUACGGCUGAGAGGCGAAAGAUUUAUCGCCGGAGGAUUGGCCCGCGUUCGAUUAGCUUGUUGGUGAGGUAACGGCUCACCAAGGCGAUGAUCGAUAGCUGGUCUGAGAGGAUGAUCAGCCACAUUGGGAUUGAGACACGGCCCAAACUCCUACGGGAGGCAGCAGUGGGGAAUAUUGGACAAUGGGCGCAAGCCUGAUCCAGCCAUGCCGCGUGAGUGAUGACGGCCUUAGGGUUGUAAAGCUCUUUCGCUCGGGACGAUAAUGACGGUACCGAGAUAAGAGCCCGGCUAACUUCGCGCCAGCAGCCGC
rnacentral:rRNA from 1 species